AGCGAACGCUGGCGGCAGGCCUAACACAUGCAAGUCGAACGAAGUCUUCGGACUUAGUGGCGGACGGGUGAGUAACACGUGGGAACGUGCCUUUAGGUUCGGAAUAACUCAGGGAAACUUGUGCUAAUACCGAAUGUGCCCUUCGGGGGAAAGAUUUAUCGCCUUUAGAGCGGCCCGCGUCUGAUUAGCUAGUUGGUGAGGUAAAGGCUCAACAAGGCGACGAUCAGUAGCUGGUCUGAGAGGAUGAUCAGCCACAUUGGGACUGAGACACGGCCCAAACUCCUACGGGAGGCAGCAGUGGGGAAUCUUGCGCAAUGGGCGAAAGCCUGACGCAGCCAUGCCGCGUGAAUGAUGAGGGUCUUAGGAUUGUAAAAUUCUUUCACCGGGGACGAUAAUGACGGUACCCGGAGAAGAAGCCCCGGCUAACUUCGUGCCAGCCGCCGCGGUAAUAC
rnacentral:rRNA from 1 species